CCUACGGGAGGCAGCAGUGGGGAAUAUUGGUCAAUGGGCGCAAGCCUGACCCAGCAACGCCGCGUGAAGGAAGAAGGCCCUCUGGUUUUUAACUUCUUUUUGCAGGGACGAAGCAAGUGACGGUACCUGCCGUAUAAGCCACAGCUAACUACGGGCCAGCGGCCGCGGUAAUACGUAGGUGGCAAGCGUUAUCCGGAUUUACUGGGUGUACAGGGCGUGUAGGCGGGGAAGCAAGUCAGAUGUGAAAGUCCAGGGAUCAACCCUGGAACGGCGUUUGAAACUGUUUUUCUUGAGUGAUGGAGAGGUAGGCGGAAUGCGGGGUGUAGCGGUGAAAUGCAUAGAUAUAACGCAGAACACCGGUGGCGAAGGCGGCCU
rnacentral:rRNA from 1 species